rnacentral:misc_RNA from 1 species
CGAAAACGGGGAAGAAAACCAGCGAAUGGUAGAGAAGAGCCAUUGAAUCAUGUUGAAGCUGAGAGGCAGAGAAGAGAGAAACUUAACCAAAGGUUCUACUCCUUGCGAGCUGUAGUUCCCAAUGUGUCAAAAAUGGAUAAAGCUUCGCUUCUUGGAGAUGCCAUCUCUUAUAUCAAGGAGCUUAAAUCAAAGCUGCAAGCCUCAGAGUCUGUUAAGGAGGAGUUGGAGAAGCAAGUGGAAUC